CUGGCGGCGUGCUUAACACAUGCAAGUCGAACGGAGUGGUUCUCCCGAAGACCUGAAGAGCUUGCUCAGAUGGAAUUCAUUUGAAUCACUUAGUGGCGGACGGGUGAGUAACGCGUGGGUAACCUGCCUCACACUGGGGGAUAGCAGUUGGAAACGACUGAUAAUACCGCAUAAGCGCACAGUAUCGCAUGAUAAAGUGUGAAAAACUCCGGUGGUGUGAGAUGGACCCGCGUCUGAUUAGCUAGUUGGUGAGGUAACGGCCCACCAAGGCAACGAUCAGUAGCCGGCCUGAGAGGGUGUACGGCCACAUUGGGACUGAGACACGGCCCAAACUCCUACGGGAGGCAGCAGUGGGGAAUAUUGGACAAUGGGGGAAACCCUGAUCCAAGCGACGCCGCGUGAACGAAGAAGUAUCUCGGUAUGUAAAGUUCUAUCAGCAGGGAAGAUAAUGACGGUACCUGACUAAGAAGCACCGGCUAAAUACGUGCCAGCAGCCGC
rnacentral:rRNA from 1 species